UGUACCCGAAGCCGAAAGUGUUGAUGAUGUUCCGCCUGCCCCUGCAGUCAUUUACCUGC
rnacentral:tRNA from 1 species